rnacentral:misc_RNA from 1 species
GAUGAAGAACGCAGCGAAAUGCGAUAAGUAAUGUGAAUUGCAGAAUUCAGUGAAUCAUCGAAUCUUUGAACGCACAUUGCGCCCGCCAGUAUUCUGGCGGGCAUGCCUGUUCGAGCGUCAUUUCAACCAUCAAGCCCCCGGCUUGUGUUGGGGACCUACGGCUGCCGCAGGCCCUGAAAACCAGUGGCGGGCUCGCUAGUCACUCCGAGCGUAGUAAUACAUCUCGCUCAGGGCGUGCUGCGGGUUCCGGCCGUUAAAAAAGCCUUAUUUACCCAAGGUUGACCUCGGAUCAGGUAGGAAGACCCGCUGAACUUAAGCAUAUCAAUAAGCGGAGGA